UACGAAGGUCCCGAGCGUUGUUCGGAAUCACUGGGCGUAAAGGGAGCGUAGGCGGCGUGGUAAGUCAGACGUGAAAUCCCGGGGCUCAACCCCGGAACUGCGUCCGAUACUGCCGCGCUCAGAGGAUUGGAGAGGUAGCUGGAAUUCUUGGUGUAGCAGUGAAAUGCGUGGAUAUCAAGAGGAACACUCGUGGCGAAAGCGAGCUACUGGACAACUCCUGACGCUGAGGCUCGAAGGCCAGGGUAGCGAAAGGG
rnacentral:rRNA from 1 species